GACGAACGCUGGCGGCGUGCUUAACACAUGCAAGUCGAGCGGAAAGGCCCUUCGGGGUACUCGAGCGGCGAACGGGUGAGUAACACGUGAGUAACCUGCCCCAGACUUUGGGAUAACCCUCGGAAACGGGGGCUAAUACCGGAUACGACACAGGUUCGCAUGGGCUCUGUGUGGAAAGUUUUUCGGUUUGGGAUGGGCUCGCGGCCUAUCAGCUUGUUGGUGGGGUGAUGGCCUACCAAGGCGACGACGGGUAGCCGGCCUGAGAGGGCGACCGGCCACACUGGGACUGAGACACGGCCCAGACUCCUACGGGAGGCAGCAGUGGGGAAUAUUGCACAAUGGGCGGAAGCCUGAUGCAGCGACGCCGCGUGAGGGAUGAC
rnacentral:rRNA from 1 species